GAACCGGAGCUAAUACCGGAUAAUAUUUUGAACCGCAUGGUUCAAAAGUGAAAGACGGUCUUGCUGUCACUUAUAGAUGGAUCCGCGCUGCAUUAGCUAGUUGGUAAGGUAACGGCUUACCAAGGCAACGAUGCAUAGCCGACCUGAGAGGGUGAUCGGCCACACUGGAACUGAGACACGGUCCAG
rnacentral:rRNA from 1 species